rnacentral:rRNA from 1 species
UACGUAGGGUGCGAGCGUUGUCCGGAAUUAUUGGGCGUAAAGAGCUCGUAGGCGGUCUGUCGCGUCGGUCGUGAAAACUUGGGGCUUAACCCUGAGCUUGCGGUCGAUACGGGCAUGACUGGAGUUCGGCAGGGGAGAGUGGAAUUCCUGGUGUAGCGGUGAAAUGCGCAGAUAUCAGGAAGAACACCCGUGGCUAAGGCGGCUCUCUAGUACGGUACUGACGCUGAGACGCGAAAGCGUGGGGAGCGAACAGG